rnacentral:rRNA from 1 species
UACGUAGGGUGCGAGCGUUGUCCGGAAUUAUUGGGCGUAAAGGGCUCGUAGGCGGUCUGUCGCGUCGGGAGUGAAAACUCAGGGCUUAACCCUGAGCCUGCUUCCGAUACGGGCGGACUAGAGGUAUGCAGGGGAGAACGGAAUUCCUGGUGUAGCGGUGGAAUGCGCAGAUAUCAGGAGGAACACCGGUGGCGAAGGCGGUUCUCUGGGCAUUACCUGACGCUGAGGAGCGAAAGUGUGGGGAGCGAACAGG